CACGAACGCUGGCGGCAGGCCUAACACAUGCAAGUCGAGCGAAGCCUUCGGGCUUAGCGGCGGACGGGUGUGUAACGCGUGGGAACGUGCCCUUUGGUACGGAAUAGCCCCGGGAAACUGGGAGUAAUACCGUAUGUGGUCGAGAGACGAAAGAUUUAUCGCCAAAGGAUCGGCCCGCGUUGGAUUAGGUAGUUGGUGGGGUAAUGGCCUACCAAGCCGACGAUCCAUAGCUGGUUUGAGAGGAUGAUCAGCCACACUGGGACUGAGACACGGCCCAGACUCCUACGGGAGGCAGCAGUGGGGAAUCUUAGACAAUGGGGGAAACCCUGAUCUAGCCAUGCCGCGUGAUCGAUGAAGGCCUUAGGGUUGUAAAGAUCUUUCAGUGGGGAAGAUAAUGACUGUACCCACAGAAGAAGCCCCGGCUAACUCCGUGCCAGCAGCCGCUGUAACAC
rnacentral:rRNA from 1 species